rnacentral:piRNA from 1 species
UUAAAUAAAGAAUUUGUAUGAAACU